CGGUGGGUUUGCGCACCACUGAGAGAAGAGGGUAAAACACGGGCAGCUCUGGUGCGGGAGUCCUUAAGGGCACACAGCCCCCGAGCAGUCAGGAGGGCUUCCCGGAGGAGGAGGCCUCAGCUGAAAACAGAAGGGUGCGUGGGAGCUGCAGAGGAGGGGGAUGCUGUCCCAGCGGCAGGACAGCCGUGCAAAGGCCCGAGACAGGAACUGCAGGGGCAGAGCGUCUGAGGGCGCAGGAGCCGUGUACCAGUGCGCAGGCCCCGUGAGGCAGGGCCGGGCUCAGGGGUUGGAGGACCUUGUUCUGAGGGCCCCAGGGGCCCUGGAGGCUGGAAGCCUGGCCAAGUCAGGUUUGUGGCCUACAGGGACUCGGUGGUCACCAGUGGCAUCUGAUGGCGGACCCAGGGCUUCUCUCCUGAACGGCCCCGUGAGGUGGCUGGUGUCCGGGCAGCUGCCGACCCCUGAGCCUCCCUUGGGAGGUGCUCCCAGGGUCCCCGGCUGCGCGGCCUUCAGCAACUGCAGGACACCAGCCUCAGUUUCCUCCAGACAAGGAGGAAGGAGGCAGGGAGGCCAGGCUGAGCGAGCCGUGCCGCGGUGGGCUCUCCCUCUGCACCCCGACGCCCCAAGCAGGACUCUGAGGAGGGAUCUGGGAGGAAGGGGCUCUGGGGGUCAGGGCAACAGCCAGGAGCCCAGGGGCUGUCAUCACGGCCACCCUGGCCCGAGAGGCUAUUGACCUGAGGAGGGCGGAGGAGGCCGAAGAGGGGAGGCUCUGGGCACCGUCUGUCGUGGGUGGUGGCCUGACGGCUGAGCCUCUCCCCUGGGCUGCUAGGGGUGGCUGGCUGCAGCCUGCCCCCGGCCGGCACUCCUGUCCCUCCCCAGACCCCGGAGGGCGUCACUGAGAGGAACUGGGACAGCUCAUCUGGAGGAGGGGCACGUGCAGUGCGUCUGACCACCAGGCUGCCCCUGGACACCACGGCCCCGCGGCCAGGACGCCUCAGCUACGCUCGGCAGCCCAGGCCUGGGCGACUGGUCAGUUGGGUCUGAGGGGUGUCGACUCAAAGCUUUGCCCGUUUUUAAGUUGGGUCAUUUGCUUUUUCUUGUUCCGUGGGAAGCAUGCACUGGGUGUGGGACCUGGAAUGUCCCCAAAGGCUCACAUGUUCAGGGUGUGGGCCCAGCUUGCUGCAGUUUGGGGGAGAGUGGAACCCUUAAGAGGCGGAGCCUGGUGGGAGGUAUUUAGGUCAUUGGGGCAUGUCCCCAAAGGGACCUCUGCCUCCCUCUCUCCUUCCUGGCCAUGAGGACAGCAGUUCUGCUCCUUGACCCGCUCCUGCCACGGUGACCCGCCUCACCACAGACCCACAAGCAGUGAGGCCACCAGCCAUCCGACCUCCAAAACUGUGAAAAAAAAAUGGCCCUUUGUUUCUUUUUAACCAUUAGAUCAUGGCUGUUCGUUUUCGUUAUUAUUAUGGGUUGUUUGGACAUAACAUUAGGAAUCAUUUUGAUAUAAUUAUAAAAGCACAGAAUAUAAUUUGCUCCACUUCAGAUCCCAGUCCUUCCCCUUUCUCUCCCCUUCUCCCUCCCUCCCUUUUUUCUUUAUAAAGUUGCCUGUGUCAGGUGUUUGUCACACUGCAGAAAGCUGACCAGCGCAGCAUUCUCUACAGGUUCUAGAUCUAGUUCCUUAUCAGAUGUACGGUUUGUAGGCAUUUCCUCCACCCUGUAGGUCGUCUGGACUUUCUCAAUGGUCUCCUUUGGAGCAUAAAUGGUUUUGUUUUUGAUGAAUUUCAA
rnacentral:lncRNA from 1 species